GGAGGAAUGUGUAAAUGCUGCUGACAGAAAUAAACUGCCACAUCUUCAGCCUGCACACUGCUGAUGGUCAGAGUGAAAUCUGUCACAGAUCCACUGCCUAUGAAACGAUCAGGGACUCCAGAGUACCUAUCAGAUGUCCAGGUGAUCAACGGUGUAGGAGUUUGCCCUGGUUUCCACUGGUGCCAGACCAAACAGUACCUUUGGUUUCCACUCCAUAAAAGAUUCUGAUUGGAUUUGCAGCUGAUAGUGACCCUCUCUCCUGCUGACACAGUCAGCACAAUUUC